GGAUUAGAUACCCUGGUAGUCCACGCCGUAAACGAUGUCUACUAGCCGUUGGGGUCCUUGAGACUUUAGUGGCGCAGCUAACGCACUAAGUAGACCGCCUGGGGAGUACGGUCGCAAGAUUAAAACUCAAAUGAAUUGACGGGGGCCCGCACAAGCGGUGGAGCAUGUGGUUUAAUUCGACGCAACGCGAAGAACCUUACCAGGUCUUGACAUCCUACUAAGUUUCCAGAGAUGGAUUCGUGCCUUCGGGAAAGUAGUGACAGGUGCUGCAUGGCUGUCGUCAGCUCGUGCCG
rnacentral:rRNA from 1 species